rnacentral:lncRNA from 1 species
AUGGGGGCAUGUGCAUAAGGAAAACCUAAAGGAAUAUACAAGAAUGGACAAGGUGUGAUGCAGCAGACCUUCCAAGAGCUGUGGUACUAUUUUCUGGCCUGAGAUAAUUCCAACAUCAUUCUGCAGUCGGGAGCAGUGCUGCCAGCAAAACAAGGAAGAAAAUGCUACCUAUACUUAGGAUUUUGGUGUUGGGUACAGGCUGUUAAGGGGAAUAAGAGAGAGUGCAACCACUUAGUCAUUAGCACCAUCCGCAGGCAAUGGAGCAGCCAGAAUGUGUCAGUCUUCAGUUCUACCAGCCCUUUCCAUGUGAGUCCUACUGGGAAAGAAGGGCUUUACGUGGCUAAAGAUUAAGGUAAUGAUC